rnacentral:rRNA from 1 species
UACGUAGGGGGCAAGCGUUGUCCGGAAUCAUUGGGCGUAAAGCGCGCGUAGGCGGCCCUGUAAGUCCGUUGUGAAAGUCAAAGGCUCAACCUUUGAAAGCCGAUGGAUACUGCAGGGCUAGAGUCCGGAAGAGGCGAGUGGAAUUCCUGGUGUAGCGGUGGAAUGCGCAGAUAUCUGGAGGAACACCGGUGGCGAAGGCGGCAUCCUGGACCGAAACUGACACUGAGGCGCGAAAGCUAGGGGAGCAAACGGG